rnacentral:rRNA from 1 species
UACGGAGGGGGCUGGCGUUGUUCGGAAUUACUGGGCGUAAAGCGUGCGCAGGCGGUUUUGUAAGUCUGUCGUGAAAGCCCCGGGCUCAACCUGGGAAUUGCGAUGGAGACUGCAAGGCUUGAAUCUGGCAGAGGGGGGUAGAAUUCCACGUGUAGCAGUGAAAUGCGUAGAGAUGUGGAGGAACACCGAUGGCGAAGGCAGCCCCCUGGGUCAAGAUUGACGCUCAUGCACGAAAGCGUGGGGAGCAAACAGG